CCAGAAGCACUCACUUAAAAGAUGGGCUAUUCAGUUAAAGCUGAGUACACAUUUCCCAGAAACAAAGGGUUGCUGUAACCAUUUUACUGCUGUGGCUGACAUACGUAGCUAUUAGGCUCGGAGGCAUUUCCAGUCUGACUGCUAGUUCCUGGCAGAGUUUCGAUCUUCAGAGGUGAAUAAGGCAAGGAAAAGAAAGAGUGGGUGACAAAGGUCACAAAUCUUUACCAAGAUGACUGAAUCUCUCUCAUUCAUGUAAUACAGCUUCAGCAAUCUGAUUUCAACACCCCGUCAUCUCCUGGGGGAAAAAAUGCUAAGAUUUCCAAGUUCAGAGACCAGUGUGAAACUGGUUCUCCUCAACUAAAAGCAUUUAGGGACGGGAUCCGUGAUGUCCUCUCCCCAGAUGCCAACAGAAUGACAAAGCAGCAGCCACGUGAGCUGAUAAAGUCACAAAAGAGGGCUUGACUACAGAGAAUAUGCUGAGGGCAGCCAUCACAGGCUGGCACAAUUAGACUUCCACGCAGCACAGAGAGUGACAGCACAAACAUGGCGUAUCAACAGCACGGGGUCACCCCGAGAAGGAAUUAUCAAUGAGGAAAUACUACAGGCUGUAGAUUUAUAUACCUCUCCUCUGAAAUUUUCAUAAUGCAGAUCGAUGAUUAUGUUAGUCUUUGAGAUUCAGGCAGAGCAAGGAAGCAAAUAUCUUGCUCUUCAUUGUCUCUUCAAUAUUGGUAUUAUCCGAACCCUGUCACACUUUCUUGUGUUUAAAAAAUAAUAAUCAGAGUACCCCAGACAGAUUACUGGGGUUGAGUUUAGAGUUGGUAAAAUUUAAUGUUUUUUUAAAAGCAUUUAAAAAUACUCUAUGCUUUUGAAAACUGAUGACUAAUUUUAUAUGUCAAUUUCACUGAGCCACUGGAUGCCCAGAUAGUUGAUCAAAUACUAUUCUGGGUGUUUCUGUGAGAGUGUUUUUGGAUGAAAUUAACCUUUAUAUUACUAGACUGGGUAAAGCAGAUUGCCAUCCAUAAUGUGGGUGGGCCUCAUCCAAUCAGUUGAAAGCCUGAAUAAAACAAAAAGGCUGAAAUUCCCCCAAUUAACAGAGAAGUCUUCCUCCCUGAUUGCCUUUAAACUGGGACAUUGGCUUUUUUUUCUUGCCUCUCGGCUCAAACAAAAACAUCAGCUCUUCCUGAGUCUUGAGUCUGCCAUCCUGCAGACUACAGCUACCCCAUCAGCUCUCCUGGUUCUCAGGCCUUCAGUCUAAGACAGGAACUAAGCCACUGGCUCCCAUAGGUCCACAGCUUGCUGACUUAUCCUGCAGACUUUGAGACUUGUCAACUUCUGCAAUCACAUGAGUCAAUUCUUACCAUAAAUCUCUUUGUGUAUAUCUCUUAUUUAUUUUGUUUCUCCGGAGAACACUGACUAAUACAGAUGCCUUUGCUUAGGAAAAGGUUAUGGCU